rnacentral:rRNA from 1 species
AACGAACGCUGGCGGCGCGCUUAACACAUGCAAGUCGAACGAGAAGGCGUAGCAAUACGCUUGUACAGUGGCGAACGGGUGAGUAAUACGUGGGCGACCUACCCUCGAGUGGGGAAUAACCCGCCGAAAGGCGGGCGUAAUGCCGCGUACGCUUCCAUCUUUAUGGAGGUGGAAGGAAAGCCGUGCCGUGGGCACGGCGCUCAAGGAUGGGCUCACGUCCUAUCAGCUUGUUGGA